rnacentral:rRNA from 1 species
GAACUGAAGAGUUUGAUCAUGGCUCAGAUUGAACGCUGGCGGCAGGCCUAACACAUGCAAGUCGAGCGGAUGAAGAGAGCUUGCUCUCUGAUUCAGCGGCGGACGGGUGAGUAAUGCCUAGGAAUCUGCCUAUUAGUGGGGGACAACGUUUCGAAAGGAACGCUAAUACCGCAUACGUCCUACGGGAGAAAGCAGGGG